CAUGAUUUUGAUUACAAUAAACACACCUCUCCUUUAGCUUCUUUAUAUCUAUCUCCCUAUAUUUUUCCUCAAGUCUUGAUCUCAAUAAUUGAUAACGAAGAAUGCCUAUUUCCUCACUAUCGAUCAAUAUAUUCUCAUACCAUAUUCCUGUCAUUACUACAAAACUCAAGGAAACUUUUCAGUAGCAAAGCACAAUGAAAUAAACAUGAAGGGUAAAAGAUUUUUUAUAUACAAAAUAAAAUAAAAAUAACAGAAAAAAAUAAAAAUAAAAAUCCUAUAUACAAUAAAUUGUUUUGUCAAAAUUAAUCAACAAUCCCCGGCAACGGCGCCAAAAACUUGAUGACAAUUUUAGCAAGUGUACUAAAUUCGUCGUUAAGUAAUAAAAUUUAUAA
rnacentral:lncRNA from 1 species